rnacentral:tmRNA from 1 species
AAUGGAAUCGACAGGGAAGUGAACUGGUAAGUAAGCAUGCCGGAGUAUGAUGGUUUAUCUCCGUUAACAACUAACUAUCAACCAAUUUCACAUGGCAAUACUCAGUAUGCCAUGGCAGCCUAAGACUAGGUCUUAGUAUGCCUUUGUGCCGUGCGCUUGACGCCUGAUACACAGUGUGCCGCACAUCAACCAACCCUUCAGGCUAGCAUCAUAACCCGCUCCGAUUAUGAUGUGAAAUUCAGGAGAUAAGGGAUGAACCGGGAGGGUUUCCAAUCCUGCCUCAUCCUCGAAAAUUCAACUGGGAACUAAGCAUGUAGAAGGCUUAUGAGUGCUUUCGCUGGACGCGAGUUCGACUCAGA